AGCAGCCGCGGUAAUUCCAGCUCCAAUAGCGUAUAUUAAAGUUGUUGCAGUUAAAAAGCUCGUAGUUGAAUUUCGGGGUCAGUAGAUUGGUCGUGCCACUGGUAUGUACUGGUCUACUGGCUCCUCCUUCCUGAUGAACCGUAAUGCCAUUAAUUUGGCGUUGCGGGAAACUGGACUGUUACUUUGAAAAAUUAGAGUGUUUAAAGCAGGCUAACGCUUGAAUACAUUAGCAUGGAAUAAUGAAAUAGGACGUUCGACCUUAUUUUGUUGGUUUCUAGGAUUGACGUAAUGAUUAAUAGGGAUAGUUGGGGGCAUUAGUAUUCAAUUGCCAGAGGUGAAAUUCUUGGAUUUAUUGAAGACUAACUACUGCGAAAGCAUUUGCCAAGGAUGUUUUCAUUAAUCA
rnacentral:rRNA from 1 species